rnacentral:rRNA from 1 species
UACGUAGGUGGCAAGCGUUAUCCGGAAUUAUUGGGCGUAAAGAGCGCGCAGGUGGUUGAUUAAGUCUGAUGUGAAAGCCCACGGCUUAACCGUGGAGGGUCAUUGGAAACUGGUCGACUUGAGUGCGGAAGAGGGAAGUGGAAUUCCAUGUGUAGCGGUGAAAUGCGUAGAGAUAUGGAGGAACACCAGUGGCGAAGGCGGCUUCCUGGCCUGCAACUGACACUGAGGCGCGAAAGCGUGGGGAGCAAACAGGAUUAGAUA